UUUAACUAAGUGGUAGAGUCGCGCUCUUUAAACGCCCUAAGAAAUAGGCGUAAGUCGUCGGUUCAAAUCCGAUAA
rnacentral:tRNA from 1 species